rnacentral:rRNA from 1 species
UCCAGACUCCUACGGGAGGCAGCAGUGAGGAAUAUUGGUCAAUGGGCGGGAGCCUGAACCAGCCAAGUCGCGUGAGGGAUGACGGCCCUAUGGGUUGUAAACCUCUUUUGCCGGGGAGCAAAGUGCCGCACGUGUGCGGUUUGGAGAGUACCCGGAGAAAAAGCAUCGGCUAACUCCGUGCCAGCAGCCGCGGUAAUACGGAGGAUGCGAGCGUUAUCCGGAUUUAUUGGGUUUAAAGGGUGCGUAGGCGGGCGCUUAGGCCAGGGGUAAAGUUGGGGGGCUCACCCUCGGCGAGCCGUUGAAACUGGGUGCCUUGAGUGGGCGAGAGGUAUGCGGAAUGCGUGGUGUAGCGGUGAAAUGCAUAGAUAUCACGCAGAACCCCGAUUGCGAAGGCAGCAUACCGGUGCACAACUGACGCUCAGGCACGAAAGCGUGGGUAUCGAACAGGAUUAGAUACCCUCGUA